rnacentral:rRNA from 1 species
UUUUAUGAGAGUUUGAUCCUGGCUCAGGACGAACGCUGGCGGCGUGCCUAAUACAUGCAAGUCGAACGCUUUUUCUUUCACCGGAGCUUGCUCCACCGAAAGAAAAGGAGUGGCGAACGGGUGAGUAACACGUGGGUAACCUGCCCAUCAGAAGGGGAUAACACUUGGAAACA